UGGGGGGGGGGGGGGUGAGAGGUACUCAGCAUUACAAAAUUAUAACAGGGGUACACAGAGGUCAAAAGUUUGGGAAACACUGUUCUAUUGGACUCUUUGUCUUAUAUUGGCUUUGAUAAUUCCAAGUUUUGUUCUUUCUUCCCUCAGAAUGAGUCCUUCAGAAGAUUGGGCUGGGCAUUUUGUACAGUGACAAGACAUAGGCCCAACUAAAAGAUUUUCUUUGAUGCUAUUUAGCAAGUCCAACGAUAUUUAAACAUCAUUUACAACAUACUUUGUCUGAAGGCUCGUCCUAGUAGUGCUAAUGACUAUUUGAACAUUGAUCUAUUUAGUUAGUUUUGUAUGUUCAUCUUUGUUUGGGAAGUCUCCAAUAGUGGCUAAUUGUUUCCUUACCUAUGAAUAGGCGUAAUCAUGAUUUCUACUUAGAUUUAGUCAUAAAUGUGUGGAGGGAGGGAGGUGUCAUUUUAUGUUCUAUUCACUAUUUUUCGUUGAUUGUGAACUGAAUGCUUUGUUUAUUCUAUGUUUCAGUACAUUGCCAUACUUGACAAAUGACUCAAUAAAACAUUCUCUGUUUUUUUUUUUAAUUUUCA